rnacentral:lncRNA from 1 species
AUAAAGGAAGAGGGCAACGUUAUCAUCUGACUGCUUGUAGCUGUGGAAGGGCGGCGUAGAAGAGGAAAGGCUGGGGGUUUCGGAUGGUUGUUUUUGAAGCCAUCAGUAUUCUUGAAGAAGCAGCAUAUCUUGAACUGUCCUAUGGGUGAAGGCUUUGAUGUGGUCCUGUAAAAACUGGAUUUGGAGGAUCAUCUGAAUACCCAUCCAACAGAGAUCCAUGAUUCAUGUAUUUCUCAAGACAGCCAUACACUAAAAUUAUAAGAUCAUAAGAAUAUUAAUUAUAUUCUACCAAUGCAAUACAAGCAUUGAAAUGGAUGGCAUCUGAUCCUGCUUCAUGUGAUUCUUCAUUUAGCUCUGGACUCUUUACAUCAUUAAGGCUUUUUCUUUGCAGGAAUUUAAAAGCAACCCUAUGAAUAUAACAUUUGUCAAAAAGAGCAAGUGCCAAGCCAGUUGAGAAUAACCUUACAAUGUGUACAAGGAUUCCAGCUUAUGCAACAUGAAAAUGGCAAGGAUGAAGACCUUUAUGAUGAUCCAUUUCCAUUUAAUGAAUAGAAGAAGUGUUAUCAAUUCUGUUGAUGGACCCCUUAAUCUCUUCUACUGAUUAUCUUCUACUUGAACCAGUGCCAAAUUAAUGUUGCAAGCUUUGUCUUGAAAUAUGUAAGACUUAUA